AACGCUGGCGGCGUGCCUAACACAUGCAAGUCGAACGGAGUUAAUGAUUUCGGUGUUAACUUAGUGGCGAACGGGUGAGUAACGCGUGAACAACCUGACCCAAAGAGGGGGAUAACAUUUGGAAACAGAUGCUAAUACCGCAUAAGACCACAACGUCACAUGGCGAAGGGGUCAAAGGAGCAAUCCGCUUUGGGAGGGGUUCGCGUCCCAUUAGGUAGUAGGCGGGGUAACAGCCCACCUAGCCAACGAUGGGUAGCCGAGCUGAGAGGCUGAUCGGCCACACUGGAACUGAGACACGGUCCAGACUCCUACGGGAGGCAGCAGUGGGGAAUAUUGGGCAAUGGGCGCAAGCCUGACCCAAGCAACGCCGCGUGAGGGAAGAAGGUUUUCGGAUUGUAAACCUCUGUCGCAGAAGACGAAGGAAGUGACGGUAUUCUGUGAGGAAGCCCCGGCUAACUACGUGCCAGCAGCUGC
rnacentral:rRNA from 1 species